AUUUCAUCAAAAACUGUUAUUCCGGAAGAUAUUUCAAAUUCCCUGUUCGAGAUAUCGACAUUAAUCGCAGGAUCAUUCUGUUCCCUCUCUUGAAGGGAGAUACGGGUGUGAAGGAUAUAUUGAAUUAUCGUAGGGUCAAACGAUACUGUCACGACACGAAAUAGAAACCUGAAAGGAGCCAAAGCAGAGAACAUAUAUUACAUGUUCUCUGGCCAAAGUAAUCGUUCCUUUCGGUUGAUUCGACGUGAAUACGAGCGUCAAGUGGUAUCCAUCUGCAUGACGUCACGUCGAAACGCAUUGCUCCGAGCCAUUGAAAAGUUGUCAGCCGAGAUUAGUUCCAGCUACUCGUAUCCUAUCAUGGUACCGGAAGUGCGGGGGAGGAUGUUGAGGAAUGGCAUAGAAGGGAAGUACAGAAUGACGAAGGUGGGACGCAUCGUAAAAUCGAAAAUGUCAUCUCUUCCAUUCUUGAAACAGGCCAAUACAAGCUUAAAGGGGGUUCCCCGUUGUCGAAUCGAAACCACGAGUCGAUCGGACAUUCGAUAUCUCUCGUUUGCGAAUGGACAAAAUAAUCCAACGUCGGAUAUCAUUCUGGUAUGUGUGGAUGACAUAGAACUGAGAUACCAGGACACGGAUAUCAUUUCAUCUCACAGAAUCGAACUGGCGGUUUCAUUCGCGGUAUCCAUUUUGAAAGUAUUAUUCUCUAGUAGAGAAUUAUAUAAAUAUCUCUGAUGGAAGUAUCGAGCCGAAGAGGAUGCCAGCGAGCCGUAUAAUAUAUGCGAAAUAGUACGUGAAGAGUGACUACUCAGCAGUUGAGAUCAAAGAGAAAAUGUAAAGGCAAGAGUAUAUAAGAAAAAAUAGAAUUUUCUUCGAUUCAACAGUGAUCGAGUAUCAACAGUAUGCGUGAAAUGAUAAUUCCAAGGAUUUGAUCAAUAUGGCAUUCCUAGCUGCUUCGUGGGUACGUGAGGAUUGAAACGGAUAUCGAGGAUGAAAAUAAGAAUGAAGGACAAGCGGGGAACACGAUGAGAAGUACGAGGAUAGGGAUUCCUGAGAAGAUAAAUCCAUGUCUCGCGGGAAGUGUGCGAAAAGCGCUAAAAGGGGUAGAAACAAAUAGGAGAGGCAGGAAGUAAAACAAAAAGAAUGGAAGCCCGAGGGUGGCCAUGGGCUUCGACUCGAAUACCAAGAAGCCUCUAGGUCCAAGUAAAUGUUUCCUGGGUUUCCGGAUAAAUCCACGAUCGCCAUCUAACCUUUCAGUACCACGUGUCUUAUCCUUUAGGAUGCCAGUAUUUAGGAUAAGCUCCAACCCCAACCUGCCAAUUCCGAACCAUCACGUCAGAUCUCGUCACGUUGCUUUACACAUAUAUGAUUAUCCCCUGUUUCAGAUACUUUAGAGAUUUUCAGCGUUGGGUGGAAUUAACGCGUCUUUCACACGCUAAACGAUCAUCCCUUAUUAGACGGAAGAGGAUCUCAGAAGGAAUGACCCAGGCCAAAGACCAUUUCAUAUAUUCAUCAUACCAGCACACUACAACCAAAAAGUUCCACAGUUGCAAACUAAUCUUGCUUUUCGUAUAUCCAAUGGGUCUAAGGGUAGAUAUGCCUGUAGGUACAAAAGCGGUUCGAGUGGACAGAGUGUCCAAUUAUUUCUCAGGACUCUAUUUCCCCUAGACAUUCUCGUCUGAAUUAAAAGCCAUCAACUCUUAUGUAUAAAUCCUUGUACCUGAAUACCUGGGUACAAUGAUCUUGACCGCCCAGAGGUAUGAUUGUUGGCGUUAUAUAAAAUCUAGGGGAAAAUCUGCAUGAAUAUUACCUUUUCACCCUGUCUGAAACGUGGUUACACGCAACCCUUAAUCCCAUGAAAAAGGAUAAGCCAACUAGACGUGAACAUUUUUGCUACAUCCCUAGGACAGAGUCAGCAAGUAAAUCCCAGUCAAAGCUUCGCUAGAGGAAUUAGUCAUUCCGUGACAGUAUAUUUUAGCUCGGAAAUGAGACUUCAACUACAACUAUUCGUACACGUCCAGUAAUGUAAUUACCAAGGUAAGGAAAAAGCAGGUUUCCUAGCGUCCACAAAGUGUAAUAAGGACGGGAUGAAAAAGAGGUGUCUGGCUCGAAGUCCGGUAGCCAUCAAAAAACUCGGUUGAGUCUCGCGCCAAGUACCAGGCAACCGGCGGUACAGCCAAGGCGACGGAGCAAGUCAUGUGACUGAGCGUCAUUAAUGGCGUCCUGCUUGUGGAUUUCGUGCGGUAAGAUUAAGAGAGGAGAGUGAACGAUGAUUUUUUACGUGCCUUGGCCCGUGCGUGCAACGGAGAUAGCAAUACGGUGCGAUCGAAAGGGGAAACCUUGCGAGCUACACUAGUUAGCGUCAUAUUGCCAACUCGUUCGCACUAAUUCUCUGCGAAAAGGACGCAACUAGCGACGCUUUGUCGUUUCGCUGACACCAUAGUGUUCUCUCUGUUGCUCGCACGAGCUGAGAUACGUAAAUAAUCCUGCACCAUCUCCUUCUCUUCGCCACACGACGUCGACAAGCUGGACACCAUUAAU